UGGCGGCAAUAGCGCGGUGGUCCCACCUGACCCCAUGCCGAACUCAGAAGUGAAACGCCGUAGCGCCGAUGGUAGUGUGGGGUCUCCCCAUGCGAGAGUAGGACACUGCCAGGC
rnacentral:rRNA from 6 species